GAGAAGUCGUAACAAGGUUUCC
rnacentral:rRNA from 2 species